UACGUAGGGGCCGAGCGUUUGUCCGGAGUUACUGGGCGUAAAGCGCGCGCAGGCGCCCCGCAAGCAUGGCGUGAAAGCCCCCGGCUCAACCGGGGAGGGUCGUCGUGGACUGCGGGGCUUGAGGGCGGUAGGGGUUGGUGGAAUGCCCGGUGUAGUGGUGAAAUGCGUAGAGAUCGGGCGGAACACCCGUGGCGAAGGCGGCUCACUGGACCGGUAUUGACGCUGAGGAGCGAAAGUGUGGGGGAGCGAACAGG
rnacentral:rRNA from 1 species